rnacentral:rRNA from 1 species
UACAGAGGGUGCAAGCGUUGUUCGGAAUUACUGGGCGUAAAGCGCGUGUAGGCUGCCAUGUAAGUCGAGUGUGAAAGCCCUUGGCUCAACCAAGGAAGUGCAUUCGAUACUGCGUCGCUUGAGUGUCGGAGGGGGUGGCGGAAUUCCCGGUGUAGAGGUGAAAUUCGUAGAUAUCGGGAGGAACACCUGUGGCGAAGGCGGCCACCUGGACGACAACUGACGCUGAGACGCGAAAGCGUGGGUAGCAAACAGG